rnacentral:lncRNA from 1 species
CUCAAAAAAGACAAGCAUCAAGGUGUGGAUGUGUGCAAAGCAGUGAAAAGAUAACAGAUACAAAGACCAGAAUUUCCUAAAGUUAUUGUUUGUGUCUAGGUGCGUGACGACUACUACCGCUGGUUGUGCCAGGGCAGACGUGGCAAGACCAAGAGUUCUGACAAGUACUCAGAGUUCAGUUCCACAUCCGGUUCCAACACGUUAAGGUCUCCCAAAACUUUGAAAGAAUCUGGAAUGUAACAACAGUUUUCAGAAAUAAUGAAUUCCAAGUGUGCUGCUUUGCAUAUAAACAUUUCCAGGGAAAAUAUGGGCUGAAAACAGAACUGUUACCUGCUGAUUCAGACUUACUGCAAUAAGGACACUGAAAUUGCCAGAAACCUAUGCAGGGAGCCAUCUAGCAAGCUCCGGAACUGGGCCCACCUUAAUCUUAUAUUGGUACAGGACUUCAUCAGAUGUUCCCUUUUCUUUCAUGCUAAGGCUCUUCUCUUUUAAAGAGAGGAUCGUUUCUUUUUAAAAGGUACUCCUACAUAUAACACUUCCAUAAAAGAUCCUUACCGUGGACACUGGUUAGCCUUCUGCCUGGCUAUUUAUGCAUCAAAAUUUUGAAGCGAAUUUUGCAUAACAGGCAUGAUCUUUUUCAUCCGGUCUAUGGAUUGAUCUGAUAGCACUUCCCCUAAUGUUUAUUAAGUUAUUUUCAAGUAUAAACCUAUGAUUAUCUGCAGUACUCAUUAAGAGAGAUAGAAACAAGAGUGGUAAAUAUGCUAUAUCAAAGAGUGUUCAAGGAGUUAGGCAAAACAGAAAGGAUGCUGUAAUUUAGGACUGGACAAAGAACUUCACAUUAUUUUGCUUUGUGGUUAUAUUUGUCCAAAAGAUGAUAUAAAUUUUGAAUUCUGCCCAUCAGUGAGAUUAUAAAGCCAGGUCUAGAGGCUAUUUGAAUAGUCCUGCACAUAAAAAAUGUAUCUAAAUGUAGAAACAUAGUAUGGUGUAGGCAAAAUACAGACCUUUCAGAGUGAGAUCUAAUUUUUUAUGUAAAAGGCCUUUUAUUUAUUUUUAAUAGAAAACUAAGCUUUCAUUUGUAACCUUGCACACUGAGCCAGGCUUAUUUAGGUAUAAGUAACCCUGUGUUAUAAAUCUGUUUAAAUUAUAGUUUGCUUCCAUUGCCUAAAGAUUUUAUAGUUCUGCUUCCUGGUGCAUUAAAUGUCUGCCAUGCUCAAAAUUCAGAUUCAGCU